UCCUUGGUAGCUCAGAUGGUAAAGCAUCUGCCUACAAUGCAGGAGACCCGGAUUCGAUCCCUGGGUUGGGAA
rnacentral:tRNA from 1 species